UUGACAGUUUGGCUUCCCUGUUCUGGGUGGCAAAGCCUGUGGAGUACUCACCUACCUGCUGCAUGAAGGCAGCAUGGAGGGACUGUGGUGGAUUAUCUGCAAAGAUGGCCAAAAUUCUCUCAUCCCUGCAGGCACAUACAAGGUUGUUGCAUGGCAUAAGUAAAAUGACAGCCAAAGGAUACAUGCAACUUUUCAGGGACAAAGAUCUGUGCAGCAUCGACAGUACUGCCUAAUGAGGUUUCACCAUAAUGAAGUAUUACAACCAGUUUACAGACCAGAAAACUGAGACACAGGAAGGGGUGGUGACUUGAGCAAGGUGCAUCAGCUGGUUUCCAGAAGUUCCCCAGUCAUUGAGCAUUUCUGAGGCUCUUGAUGCAUAUGCCAAGUAGUUAUGGAGAAAGACACAGCAGCUUACCUCUGCAGGCAUCAUUGUGUGAAAGGAAGACCCAGGCUCUCUCACCACCCUUCAACAGAAGCCUUUUGCUAAGGUGAUAGCUACAUGUCCAAGCCUAUUGCGUGGCAUGCAUUUUGCCUUCUGCAGCCCACUAAAGGAAAUUGAGGUAUACGGAAUGCUUAUUUGGUUUACUCAGUAUCAUCCUAAAUGUAUGUACCAAUGCUUAGGAGUUUGCAGUUCACCCGCAAACCUCAGCGAUCCAAGCUCCCCUGGAUGACCAUCACUCACCAAGAAAAGAACAAUAACAGGACCUGUUUUGCUAAUCCAGGACUGUUCUCCAGCACUAACUCUAAAUAAUCCCUUCUGCUAGAGUCCACUUUCUGGAACCUGUUGGAGAGGACAUCUUACUCUUAUUGGAUCAUGCACAGUGCCUGAAGCAUUCUGUUGCAUGUAGAAAGCAACAGAAAGAAACUGACGGUCUGCUAUUUGUCUCCAGAGGCCUUACAAACUGGUAGAAGAUGCAUAACAGAAGAGCUUAUGAAGUUAAAGAUG
rnacentral:lncRNA from 1 species